rnacentral:rRNA from 1 species
GACGAACGCUGGCGGCGUGCCUAAUACAUGCAAGUCGAGCGGACUUAAAAAGCUUGCUUUUUAAGUUAGCGGCGGACGGGUGAGUGACACGUGGGCAACCUGCCUGUAAGACUGGGAUAACUUCGGGAAACCGGAGCUAAUACCGGAUAAUCCUUUCCUACUCAUGUAGGAAAGCUGAAAGACGGUUUACGCUGUCACUUACAGAUGGGCCCGCGGCGCAUUAGCUAGUUGGUGAGGUAACGGCUCACCAAGGCGACGAUGCGUAGCCGACCUGAGAGGGUGAUCGGCCUCACUGGGACUGAGACACGGCCCAGACUCCUACGGGAGGCAGCGGUAGGGAAUCUUCCGCAAUGGACGAAAGUCUGACGGAGCAACGCCGCGUGAGUGAUGAAGGUUUUCGGAUCGUAAAACUCUGUUGUUAGGGAAGAACAAGUACGAGAGUAACUGCUCGUACCUUGACGGUACCUAACCAGAAAGCCACGGCUAACUACGUGCCAGCCGCCGCAGUAA